rnacentral:rRNA from 1 species
AGAGUUUGAUCCUGGCUCAGAAUGAACGCUGGCGGCGUGCCUAACACAUGCAAGUCGUACGAGAAAUCCCGAGCUUGCUUGGGAGAGUAAAGUGGCGCACGGGUGAGUAACGCGUGGGUAACCCACCUUCGAAUCUGGGAUAACUCCGCGAAAGCGGUGCUAAUACCGGAUAAGACCACAUUCCGUUCGCGGAAAGAGGUAAAAGCUGACCUCUCCAUGGAAGUUAGCGUUCGAGGACGGGCCCGCGUCCUAUCAGCUUGUUGGUGGGGUAAUGGCCUACCAAGGCAGCGACGGGUAGCUGGUCUGAGAGGAUGAUCAGCCACACUGGAACUGGAACACGGUCCAGACUCCUACGGGAGGCAGCAGUGAGGAAUUUUGCGCAAUGGGGGAAACCCUGACGCAGCAACGCCGCGUGGGUGAAGAAGGCUUUCGGGUCGUAAAGCCCUGUCAGGUGGGAAGAAACUCUUCAGCACUAAUAAUGCUGAAGCCUGACGGUACCACCAGAGGAAGCACCGGCCAACUCCGUGCCAGCAGCCGCGGUAAUACGGAGGGUGCAAGCGUUGUUCGGAAUCAUUGGGCGUAAAGAGCGUGUAGGCGGCUAGGAAAGUCAGAUGUGAAAGCCCUGGGCUCAACCC